GGGGUAUUAGCUCAGUUGGUAGAGCGCUUCAAUGGCAUUGAAGAGGUCAGCGGUUCGAACCCGCUAUGCUCCA
rfam:Akkermansia sp. KLE1798 genomic scaffold Scaffold349, whole genome shotgun sequence.